AAAAAUAAAAUAAAANNNNAAAAAAAAAAAAAAAAGACGGAGCCGCAGCCCAUUCACUCCCCAUUGCUGGCUGUGCGGCUCAGGGCCCUGGCUGCAUCGGCUCCAAAAACCUCCCAUCUGCUAGGGACCAAAACCCACUGCGUUCCUCUUUUUUCUUGGCGAGGGAAGGGUUUCUCUCCUUUGAGGCAAGGUUCAGUGUAUUUUGUGUGGAAAAGGAAGGACACAUUGUUUCUGAUAGAAGCUGUACAAACAUGUAAUAUUAUUUCCAACUACUUGCCAUCCUGCCGAGAUCACACAUGUCUGCCCUUUGAACACAAGCUCGGCCACUGGACUUGGGCAGCCCUUCCUUCCCUUGGAGGGACCUCAGUUCCUUGCACAUUUCAAUGCUAGCUUGGCUGUUUGAGUUCCUGACCCGUUUGCUGCGAGUUGAAUGGCGUAUUUCAGUUUUACGUGGGAGGUUUCAGGCCCUUUGCUUCAUUUACCGCUGUCUUCUCUCUGCUUCACGAUGGUCUUAGACAGACUGGAGUUUGACCCUGAAUCGUUGAAUCAAAUGGCAGAACCAAGAGAGAGGUGAGUGACAGAUACGAGGAAGAGAGAAGUGCUGGUUGUCUUCGGCCAGUAGGGGUUCCGGGUUGUCUUGGUUGCAGUAGCAAGCUUUCUAAUGCUAUCUGAGGUUGGUUAAUCUUCGAAAGUAAUAGACUUAGCUCCCACUAAUAUGAAUUUUCUUAUGUGUGGUCCAUUAAGAAUAUCCACUGGGAGUUCCCACUGUGGCACAGCAGGCUAAGGAUCUGGUGUUGUCUCUGAGGCAGCGUGGGUUUGAUUCCCCAGCCCAGCACAGUGGGUUAAGGAUCUGGUGUUGCCACAGCUGUGGCACAGGUCACAGCUAAGGCUCAGAUUUGAUCCCUGGCCUGGGAACUUCCUUUUGUUGCAGGUGCGGCUGAAAAACAAUUGUGUGUGUGCGCACGCGCGCACACAUGUGUGUGUAUCCACUGAACAUUUUGUCACCCGCAUUAUAUCUGACAAUGUUUCCAGUAUGAAUUCUAUGCGGUAUAUCCUGGCAUCACUGCUUAAGACCCUUGACACAUGUAUGUGGUUUCCAUCUGAUGUGAAUUCUUCCAUAAUUUCAAAGAUGGUUUUGAUAAAGCUCAUCACAUUCCGUAUUUGUAUAAUUUCUCUCUAGUAAGAAACUGUUCUGUCCCAUGAGGCAUAAACUUUUGUUUUUUUUUUUUUUAGGGCUGCACCUGAGGCAUGUGGAGGUUCCCAAGCCACGGGUCAAACCUGAGCUAUAGCCAUCGGCCUACACCAUAGCUCACGGCAAUGGCAGUUCCAUAACCCACUGAGCAAGGCCAGGGAUCGAACCUGUGUCUUUAUGGAUGCUAGUCAGA
rnacentral:lncRNA from 1 species